rnacentral:rRNA from 1 species
UACGUAGGGUGCAAGCGUUGUCCGGAAUCAUUGGGCGUAAAGCGCGUGUAGGCGGCCAGGUAAGUCCGUUCUGAAAGCCCGGGGCCCAACCCCGGGAGGCGGAUGGAUACUGCUUGGCUCGAGUCCGGAAGAGGCGAGUGGAAUUCCCGGUGUAGCGGUGAAAUGCGCAGAUAUCGGGAGGAACACCAAUGGCGAAGGCAGCUCGCUGGGACGGUACUGACGCUGAGACGCGAAAGCGUGGGGAGCAAACAGG